GAAAUUUUCUGUUUAAGGCUUGGCCGCCUUCUGUAGUCUAUGAGCUUUUCAAGAACAGGGCACACAUUGUUAGCAUGGAAUUUCCAGUGACUAAUGCUAAGCUAGAACAUAUUUGUGGUGGUGAAUUUUAUGUGUCAACUUAACUGGACCACAGGAUGCCCAGACUUUUAGCCAAACAUUAUCCUGUGUGUGUCUGGGAGACUGUUUCUGGAUGACAUGGACGUUUGAAUCCAUAGACUGAGUAAAGCAGAUUGCCCUCCCGAAUGGAGGUAGGCCUCAUCUAGUGAGGUGAAGACGUGACUACAAUGAAAAGGCUGAGUAAGAGGGAAUGCGUCCUACCUGACUUGUUUGAGUUGGGACCAUGGUCUUUCUCAGCCUUCAGACUCGGACUGAAACAGCAGCUCUUCUUGGAUCUCCAGCCUGCCGACUUUCAGCUUGGAACUUAUGCCAUCAGCUCUCAUGGUUCUCAGACCUUCAGACUUGAACUAGAACUACAAACCAGUUUUCCUGGGUCUCCAACUUGUGGACUGCACAUCUUGGGACUUCUCAGCCUCCCUAAUUGUGCACACAUCACCAGCAAGGAAGAUGGUGGUUCCAUGAAUAUGAACACACAGAAAAAAAUAAACAGACAUCUGAGGAGUACAUGUGGAAGCCUCUACAGAAGAAAGACUCAACCUAUCCAUGAGAAAGCAAAAUCAAUGGACCAGAUUAAAAUUUGCAAAAUAUCCUUCUCAAAUAAAAAAAGAACAUUGCCAAUAUCAAGCAGUUGAUAAGAUCUCAUUAGAGAUAUCAAGCAUAAAAAACAUAAUAUAGAAAUAAUUUAAUUUCUUAG
rnacentral:lncRNA from 1 species